rnacentral:rRNA from 1 species
GAUGAACGCUGGCGGCGUGCCUAAUACAUGCAAGUAGAACGCAGAAGGGGGAGCUUGCUCUUCUGCUUGAGUUGCGAACGGGUGAGUAACACGUAGGUAACCUGCCUGGUAGCGGGGGAUAACUCUGGGAAACGAUAGCUAAUACCGCAUAACACCAUGUAUUGCAUGAUAACUUUUAAAAAGGUGCGGCUGCUCCUCUACCAGAUGCCUAUGCGUUGUAUUAUCUGGUGAGUGCGGUAACGGCUCACGAAGGCGAGGUAACCUAGUCGACCGGAGGGGGUGAGUGGCCGGACUGGGACGGUGAAACGGCCCAGAGUGCUACGGGAGGCAGCAGUAGUGAAACGGCGGCAAUGGGCGGAAGUCUGAGCGAGCAACGCCGAGUGAGUGAAGAAGGUUUUCGGGUCGGGAAUGUCUGUUGUAAGGGAAGAACGAGUGUGAGAGUGGAAAGAUCAGACAGUGACGGUAUCUGACCAGAAAGCGACGGCUAACUACGUG